GAUGAACGCUGGCGGCGUGCCUAAUACAUGCAAGUCGAGCGAACAGACGAGGAGCUUGCUCCUCUGACGUUAGCGGCGCACGUGUGUGUAACACGUGGAUACCCUACCUAUAAGACUGGGAUAACUUCCGGAAACCGGAGCUAAUACCGGAUAAUAUAUUUAACCGCAUGGUUCAAUAGUGAAAGACGGUUUUGCUGUCACUUAUGGAUGGAUCCGCGCCGCAUUAGCUAGUUGGUAAGGUAACGGCUUACCAAGGCGACGAUGCGUAGCCGACCUGAGAGGGUGAUCGGCCACACUGGAACUGAGACACGGUCCAGACUCCUACGGGAGGCAGCAGUAGGGAAUCUUCCGCAAUGGGCGAAAGCCUGACGGAGCAACGCCGCGUGAGUGAUGAAGGUCUUCGGAUCGUAAAACUCUGUUAUUAGGGAAGAACAAAUGUGUAAGUAACUAUGCACGUCUUGACGGUACCUAAUCAGAAAGCCACGGCUAACUACGUG
rnacentral:rRNA from 1 species